rnacentral:rRNA from 1 species
CACGUAGGGUGCAAGCGUUGUCCGGAUUCAUUGGGCGUAAAGGGCUAGUAGGCGGCUUAGCAAGUCGGGUGUGAAAACUUCAGGCUCAACCUGGAGCGGCCAUCCGAUACUGCUAUGGCUAGAGUCCGGUAGGGGACCACGGAAUUCCUGGUGUAGCGGUGAAAUGCGCAGAUAUCAGGAGGAACACCGGUGGCGAAGGCGGGUCUCUGGGCCGAUAUUGACGCUGAGGAGCGAAAGCGUGGGGAGCGAACAGG